rnacentral:tRNA from 1 species
GAGUGUGUAGCUAUUUAGGUCUUAGUUUUGCAAAAACUAAUGAGAGGAAGAUAUUUCUCCAUGCUUU